GUGGAAGGGUCAUCGCUCAACGGAUAAAAGGUACGCCGGGGAUAACAGGCUUAUCGCCCCCAAGAGUUCAUAUCGACGGGGCGGUUUGGCACCUCGAUGUCGGCUCAUCACAUCCUGGGGCUGAAGCAGGUCCCAAGGGUAUGGCUGUUCGCCAUUUAAAGAGGUACGUGAGCUGGGUUUAGAACGUCGUGAGACAGUUCGGUCCCUAUCCGCCGCGCGCGCAGGAAACUUGAGAAAGGCUGUCCCUAGUACGAGAGGACCGGGAUGGACGAACCUCUGGUGUGCCAGUUGUCCCGCCAGGGGCACGGCUGGUUAGCUACGUUCGGAAGUGAUAACCGCUGAAUGCAUCUAAGCGGGAAGCACGUUUCAAGAUGAGGUUUCCCACCGGGACAACCGGGUAAGGCCCCCAGCAGAACACUGGGUUGAUAGGCCGGAGGUGUACAGCAGCAAUGCCCAGCCGACCGGUACUAAUAGGCCGAGGGCUUGU
rnacentral:rRNA from 1 species